AUAUGGGUUCUAAGAGUGAUUUUGAAGGUUCUACCAGAUUUUCUACAUAGACGAUCAUGUUAUCUAUUCUCUAUACAGGCUGACCCCUAUGGCCUACUAAGAAUGAAUAAUUAAAACUCUAGGAAUCCCAGGGUUUGUUGGAGUUCAGGGUUGUCGCUGAGUGGUGGAAAUAUUGUUCUCAACCAAAAAAAAAAAAAAAAAUGUGGGGAUUACAUGCCAGUACCAUCCACCCCUGCAUUAGAAGUUUUCAUCGAAGAGCUUCAUUUCACAAGCUUUCAGCGUUGAUCUCACCUCCUCGAAGAUGACACAUCUGAUCCCUCUGUCUAAACUGCUUUCCCUGGUGAGCUCCUUGUGUCAACAUGGAAAGUACCACCAAUGUGAU
rnacentral:lncRNA from 1 species